UAGUCCACGCCGUAAACGAUGGAUACUAGUUGUUGGGCAUUAGCUCAGUGACUAAGCGAAAGUGAUAAGUAUCCCACCUGGGGAGUACGUUCGCAAGAAUGAAACUCAAAGGAAUUGACGGGGGCCCGCACAAGCGGUGGAGCAUGUGGUUUAAUUCGAUGAUACGCGAGGAACCUUACCAGGGCUUAAAUGUAAGUUGCAUAGUUUAGAGAUAGACUUUUCUUCGGACUACUUACAAGGUGCUGCAUGGUUGUCGUCAGCUCGUGCCGUGAGGUGUCGGGUUAAGUCCUAUAACGAGCGCAACCCCUAUCGUUAGUUGCAAACAGGUUAAGCUGUGGACUCUAGCGAGACUGCCGGUGCAAACCGUGAGGAAGGUGGGGAUGGACGUCAAAUCAUCACGGGCCCUUACGUCCUGGGGCUACACACGUGCUACAUGGGUAGGUACAGAGGGGCAGGCCACUACGCGAGUAGGAGCGAAUCCUUAAAGCCUAUCUCAGUUCGGGAUCGGGA
rnacentral:rRNA from 1 species